rnacentral:lncRNA from 1 species
GGUUUUGAUGAAGUUUUGGCCGUCGGAUCAUGCAAAAGAUCUCCUAUUCAAAGUCGAAAAUAUCCUCAGCCGUCCGAUCGCUUGAUGGAUCACUUCUGAGCCAUCGGAUCGCGUAAAAAUCUCUCUUAUAAACCGAUAAUGGAUGCUGACCAUCGGAUCUGGGUCGGGAUGAAUGUCAGCCAUUAGAUCACACCCAGAAUCCUUCUCUCACUGUGAGCCACGCUUGUGGACCGUGUGAAGUUUCCUGUGGACCGCACCCUAUUUCUGUGGACCA